UACUGCCUCCAAAUUCACUACAAUGUCACCAGUUCGAACAGUUUCAGUAUCAAUGAAGUUUUGCAUAAUGUUCGGCACGAUGACGCGUUGCGAAUGCACUUUUUCGUUUCGCGCGUCAAUAUGUCAAAAUGAUAAAAAAUAAUGCCGCAGUGAGUGGCAGUGGCCGAUGUGAACUUAAGGCAGAGAAAAAAAUGAAAGUCAAAAUAAAAUAACAAAACUACGAAAUAAUAUGGAAAUGCGGGGACUUGGCACAGUCAACGGCUUGAGGGCGCUUCUACGAUGGUGUGUAUCAAAAAUGAAAAAUUGUAAUUUCGGAAAACCAAAUCGGCGUUACUUGGAGAAAACUAAUAUAUCUAACGAAUGAACCUUGAUUUUUCGAUUUCAAUAGAUCCAGCAACAAAUUAUAAGGGACACUGAAAUCCUACUUUCUUCCGAGCCACGUCCGAAUAAUACAUAGCUGUCAAUGACGCAUUUUUUAAUAUUUCUUCAUGAAAAUUUUAUACAACCUGCUUCGAAUGUCACUUGCUAUCGCCUUCUUUGCUCUCUUUCGUUUAAACUCAACAGUAAAUAAGACUAAGUACAAAAGAACAAAAAUAAACCACAACAAAUGCAUCCCUGGCACACUCACAACAACAAAACAAAAGCGUAUAAAAAUGAUUGUAACAAACGCCAAACGGAACAGCUUAAAUUAGUACGCUAACGAAGCGAAUUAGAGCGCUUUGGAGCGCAACUUGUGGAUCAGACAAGCUCAUCAAAGCAUUUGGGGCGAAUUAAAUUCGAGCUUCGUGGUGAGCAAAUGAACCUGAACAAACUAAAUGAAAAAUGCAAAUGCAAAUAAACACAAAA